rnacentral:tRNA from 1 species
GCCUGGGUAGCUCAGACGGUAGAGCAUCAGACUUUUAUUCUGAGGGUCCAGGGUUCAAGUCCCUGUUCAGGUGGUUCCA